GUGCACGCUGAAUCGGGAAUUGAGGGGAGGGUUCCCCACUAGGUUCUUUCAAUGGGACUUUGUGUUUAUUGUUUUGCUUGUUCCUUGAGUAUUGUCUUGCUUGAUUCCUCAUUGAAUUGCUCACCCUUAAUACCUGCAUGUAAUUAAAAUGGUAUAAAAGCGGAUUGGAAAAAAUUAAACCUGCCUUCAGUCUUAGAAUUGACUGAGGCCAUACUACAAUGUUGUCUUAUUGUCUUUUUUCUUUUUAAUCCUCACUCCUGCACUGGAGAACCUGUUGACUGACUGAGCCGGCUUGAUCAAAAGACUGUAUAGAAAAGAUGAACAACUGCGCUAGUCAUAGCUCUGUGUGCAACUCCCUGCAGAAUGAUCACAGUUCUUCAUUGGAGGAAGUCGGGACAAGAAUUAAACAGAACAGGACCGUGGAGUCAGGAGCUGAUGCAGAGGCCAUGGAGGGGUGCUGCUUACUGCCUUGCUGCUCGUGGCUUGCUCCGCAAGUCUGCUUAUAGGACCCAGGAUCACCAGCCCAGGGAUGGGGCCACCCACCAUGAGCUGAGCCCUCCCCACCUAAUCGCUAAUUGAGAAAAUGUGUUACAGCUGGAUCUCACAGAGGCAUUUCCUCACCUCAGGCUUCUUCCUCUCUGAAGACUCCAGCUUCUGUCAGGUUGACACAUAAGACCACCCGGCAUACAAAGCUUAUAUUUUCAUUAAAUGUUUAUACUAAAUGGU